rnacentral:rRNA from 1 species
UCGGGAAUUUUGCGCAAUGGACGAAAGUCUGACGCAGCAACGCCGCGUGAGGGAUGACGGCCUUCGGGUUGUAAACCUCUUUUGUCAGGGAAGAUGAUGACGGUACCUGACGAAUAAGCCACGGCUAACUACGUGCCAGCAGCCGCGGUAAUACGUAGGUGGCAAGCGUUGUCCGGAUUUACUGGGCGUAAAGAGCGCGCAGGCGGUCGUUCAAGUCGCGUGUGAAAGCCCCCGGCUCAACUGGGGAGGGUCACGCGAUACUGAUCGACUCGAAGGCAGGAGAGGGUAGUGGAAUUCCCGGUGUAGUGGUGAAAUGCGUAGAUAUCGGGAGGAACACCAGUGGCGAAGGCGACUACCUGGCCUGUUCUUGACGCUGAGGCGCGAAAGCUAGGGGAGCAAACGGGAUUAGAUACCCCGGUAGUCCUAGCCGUAAACGAUGGACACUAGGUGUUGGUGGUAUCAACCCCGCAGUGCCGAAGCUAACGCAUUAAGUGUCCCG